GGGAUGUGAACGGAACGGGGCAGGGCCGAGACUUUGUUUUGCUGGACUGAAGCUCUGUGUUUCUUGCAAAUCCUCCUAGAACUCAGUGCAUUGCAGAUUUGUCGCCGGGGCUCAGCCCCAGCCCGGAGUGGUGACCGCGGGGCGCUUACGCCGGCACUUGGCGGUUUCAUUGUUGAGGUGGCUGGACCAGAAGAUUGCUCUGCAAGAUGGUGAGAGUGCUGCCUGUGCAGUUUGGUCAUAUCUGUGGGGUCUUUUUAGGUUAUAGAAAGUAGUUUUGCCUAACUAGGUGGUGACCAUGAAUAAAAUCUGGUUCUCAAAGUUAA